GCAGUGUACCCGCGGCAAGACGGAAAGACCCCGUGAACCUUUACUAUAGCUUGACACUGAACAUUGAGCCUUGAUGUGUAGGAUAGGUGGGAGGCUUUGAAGUGUGGACGCCAGUCUGCAUGGAGCCGACCUUGAAAUACCACCCUUUAAUGUUUGAUGUUCUAACGUUGACCCGUAAUCCGGGUUGCGGACAGUGUCUGGUGGGUAGUUUGACUGGGGCGGUCUCCUCCUAAAGAGUAACGGAGGAGCACGAAGGUUGGCUAAUCCUGGUCGGACAUCAGGAGGUUAGUGCAAUGGCAUAAGCCAGCUUGACUGCGAGCGUGACGGCGCGAGCAGGUGCGAAAGCAGGUCAUAGUGAUCCGGUGGUUCUGAAUGGAAGGGCCAUCGCUCAACGGAUAAAAGGUACUCCGGGGAUAACAGGCUGAUACCGCCCAAGAGUUCAUAUCGACGGCGGUGUUUGGCACCUCGAUGUCGGCUCAUCACAUCCUGGGGCUGAAGUAGGUCCCAAGGGUAUGGCUGUUCGCCAUUUAAAGUGGUACGCGAGCUGGGUUUAGAACGUCGUGAGACAGUUCGGUCCCUAUCUGCCGUGGGCGCUGGAGAACUGAGGGGGGCUGCUCCUAGUACGAGAGGACCGGAGUGGACGCAUCACUGGUGUUCGGGUUGUCAUGCCAAUGGCACUGCCCGGUAGCUAAAUGCGGAAGAGAUAAGUGCUGAAAGCAUCUAAGCACGAAACUUGCC
rnacentral:rRNA from 1 species